CCCGUGUUUACGCAGUGCUGAAUCCCUCUUUUCUUUGAAGGCAAGCAUCUUGCAAGUUGAACUAAGGACAGCAAAGCACUGGGCAGAAGAGCUUGUCUGAAUGAAGAGGAGCCACAUGUGCAAGGAAUGCRUAAGGAAUCAUCCAGCUUUCCUUCCCUUUGCAGCAAGCAAGGUGUCAUCUUCUAAUGAACUUUGCAGUACCAACUAUCUCUGGCCCAUAGGGAUGCAAAGACGAGACUGCAGAAUUGACAGGUUUUCCAUGGUUGUGCAUGAUAUCUAAAAUCCCCAGGAUAUCCUUCAACACAUGAUUUCAUGAACACAGAAGCAAAUACAUUGUAAACGUACCUCUGGGCCUGGAGCAGCUGACAACCUGUGCAGACCGCGCAGACACUGGCCACUUCAGGAGGGUUCAGGUGGAUGGUGUGGGUACCUGAUACGUGGAAACUUCUGCAGUCACCUUUGCAGAGAGGACCUGGAGAC